AAUGCUGCAUACAAAGAUGCAGUGUACAUAUUGCCAACUUGCUUUGGUAUCAAAGUGGUUGGUUGCACCUUUGCAUCAUAAAGGGGCUUGGCAACUUGUUGGGACACCUUUUCAAGAUCCCGGUUUUGGUAGCUUUCAUCACCAGAUAAAUUUGAAAACGGUGCCAGCUUUUCUUUAGCAGUCUCAUCAAUAGAGCUGGCAUUCCUCACAAAGUCAUUGAACACCAAACGAGCAAAGCUUUUCUGUACAAGCUUGUUGUAAGGAGAAUGAAAUACAAAAUAUUCAGCAUCAGAAAUAGAGAAUUGCUUGCCUUCAAAUUUCUCAUACUUGGCACAGAAAUGUUUGUAGCAAGAAUCAAGAGCCAUGAGGUAGCAUGUUUG
rnacentral:misc_RNA from 1 species